UAAUACCCAAUCCUGACACAGGGAGGUAGUGACAAGAAAUAACAAUACGGGGCUCAACGCCUUGUAAUUGGAAUGAUGGGAACCUAAACCCCUUCCAGAGUAUCAAUUGGAGGGCAAGUCUGGUGCCAGCAGCCGCGGUAAUUCCAGCUCCAAUAGCGUAUAUUAAAAUUGUUGCAGUUAAAAAGCUCGUAGUUGAAUUUCUGCCGCAUCGCGGCGGCCCUCCCGGGCCCAGCGUUGCGGCUUAUUUCGGACUCGCUUGCGUCUCCGAAUGUUUACUUUGAGAAAAUUAAAGUGCUCAAAGCAGGCCCUUGCCUUGAAUACUUUAGCAUGGAAUAAUAAAGUAGGACUUUGGUUCUAUUUUGUUGGUUUAGCGCCAAAGUAAUGGUUAAUAGGAACAGUUGGGGGCAUUCGUAUUUAAA
rnacentral:rRNA from 1 species